CCCGGCCACACCUCCAACACAAAGAAAACAAGUACAGUGGAGGAGACGCAUUCUUUCCCACGAUUACUGCUGCAGCAAGCAGUGAAUGGAUGUGCAGGGAGAACAGUGUGGUCUUUGUGUGAAGCACCCACCCGCCUCCGCCAGCCUCGACCUCCCUCCAUCCGCCGCGGCUGGUAACCCAAGCUUCAAAGUCACGAGCUUCCCUCCUCCUCCCUCUACGCAGGUAACAAGACCAGCUGUCGCCAUGGUUACGAGCCACCACCAGUCUCAAGAUAGGGGGUGAGAGGACAGGGAGUGCUGUUGGAGGGGGAGGAAAGCCUCCCGAUCACAAGGACAGCUCUAUCAUAUCCAGCUAGAGCUGGGCGGCGAGGAGGCAAUCUCUUUCUCCACGCGGCGUUCCUGCAACAAGAUUUAGUCGUUUUGCUGCGAUGCUCUUAAACACAAUGCAUUAGUGGAAAAGAAGGAGAAAAAGAAGAAGAAGAAGAAGAAGCGCCUGACUGCAGCUCAGAAUAGAAUGAUUAACAGCCUGCAGCGAGGAGCAAAGACUCAGCCACCAGUUACUGUGACUGGCAGAGCUCCAUGGUUGCCGGGGAGGGAGAGCCAGCGCCACCACAACACCUGCUCCAUCUCCUUUCCCUCCUACCUCUGAGAAUAAUCUGCCCACCUGCUUCCAUGGUGAAACAGACACACCCUGCCCGCGGUUCCUCCCUCCUAGCCUGCAGCUAAAGUGGAGCUAGUCUGCACAGGAGCACAGAUGCAGGCAGAGCUCCAGCAUGCCUGGCCACCAUAUCCUGGGAGGGAGGGAUCAACAGAGCUGUGGGUCUUUUGUGUAACUGCCACCACUAAAAAAACGCGCCCCGCAAGGUUGUGUUUGCUCUCCUUUUUCCCCCUACCUGUCGUCAGUGUGUCCUUUUCAUCUGUAGGGUGCAGCCCAGAGACCAUUCCUCGAGGCAGCCAAGACAUUAUCUCAGUGGAGAGAAGGAGGUAAAAACGACAGAGCUGAACCUUUUCGAGAUUGGAGCAUGGUGUACAAAAAGGGGGUUCAGCCGAGGAGCUCUGGCUACUCGCUGAAGAACAGCCCCGUACUUGUUGUUGUGAUUGUUGUUUUAAUGAUUAUCUUGUGUAUUUAUCUGGAGAUGAUGAUGACAUUCCCUUGGUGACUGUUAUUAAAAUGCUCUGUGCUGUGGCUGAUCUGAUAUUAUGAAUAAAUGAGUAAGAUUUA